ensembl:lncRNA
CUGUACUUACAGGUGGUAACUUGUGGGUCCGUCGGCAGCAGGUAAUCUCCUGGAGGGAAGAGUUUCAUCUUUGGUGGUCUCCACAGGGCAAUCGCAAGGAGUUUUACUGGAUGGAUAAAAGUUCCCAGUUUAACUUGGAGAAUGGAGGAGGUUGGGCGAAGAAUGAGCUGUCUGAUGGGGAGGAGACCGGGCUUCAGCCUCAUAGGGUUGUGUUCACCUGAAUACACCGGGCUAUCUGAAGUGCCAGUGGGACAGAGCUGGGCAACGGAGCUGAAGGAUUUCCCAGGGCUGCACAGAAAGCCAGCCUUCAUCAGAAAAGAGCCUACAAAUCCUGAAGACACCAAGUAAAAUGUAUGCAAAAGCCCCAAGUGAUGGACGGACAAAAGUUGCAGGAAUGCCAACCACUAAAGCAGGC